rnacentral:sRNA from 1 species
AUGCACGAUGCGGACACGUCGGUUCCGAGCGCGCUGUCCACGUCCACCUGACGACCGCGCGCUACGUCGUGCUGGUC